AUUUUUGGACGACCCCUGGCGGCAUGCUCUAACACAUGCAAGUCGAACGCGUGCCUUCGGGCACGAGUGGCGGACGGGUGAGUAACGCGUGGGAAUUUGCCUUGGGGUACGGAAUAACCGCGGGAAACUGCGGCUAAUACCGUAUACGUCCUUCGGGAGAAAGAUUUAUCGCCCUGAGAUGAGCCCGCGUCCGAUUAGGUAGUUGGUGAGGUAACGGCUCACCAAGCCUUCGAUCGGUAGCUGGUCUGAGAGGAUGAUCAGCCACACUGGGACUGAGACACGGCCCAGACUCCUACGGGAGGCAGCAGUGGGGAAUAUUGGACAAUGGGGGAAACCCUGAUCCAGCCAUGCCGCGUGCGUGAAGAAGGCCUUAGGGUUGUAAAGCUCUUUCGGUGGUGACGAUGAU
rnacentral:rRNA from 1 species